UGGAGCCUGCGGUUAAUCGGACUCAACGCCGGGAAACUCACCAGAUAAGACAGCUGAAUGAUAGUCGGGCUGAAGACUCUACUUGACUAGCUGAGAGGAGGUGCAUGGCCGUCGUCAGUUCGUACUGUGAAGCAUCCUGUUAAGUCAGGCAACGAGCGAGACCCACGCCAACAGUUGCCAGCUCGUCCUCCGGGAUGGUGGGGACACUGUUGGGACCGCCUCUGCUAAAGAGGAGGAAGGAAUGGGCAACGGUAGGUCAGCAUGCCCCGAAUUAUCUGGGCCACACGCGGGCUACAAUGGGUGGGACAAUGGGUAUCGACACCGAAAGGUGAAGGCAAUCUCCUAAACCCAUCCGUAGUUCGGAUUGUGGGCUGCAACUCGCCCACAUGAAGCUGGAAUCUGUAGUAAUCGUGUCUCAAAAUGGCACGGUGAAUAUGUCCCUGCUCCUU
rnacentral:rRNA from 1 species